UCUAAUUUGUAAUUGUUUUCCCUUCAUCUGGACAAUAAUUUAUUGCCAAAUCGAAACACGUGUCAAUUGUUACCAUCCCCCCCCCUCCCCCGGAACAUGUUUUAAUUUUUCUUCCCUCCACCCCUUUCCUUCCUGGCCCCGCCCCCUACUGCCCUUUUUCAACAGAUGGAAUGUGAGACCCGAAAGUUACAGGAUGGCACAGGUCUCGUUGGUGGAGGUCACGUCCAAAUCUGGGCUCCCUGGAAGCCUGAGGUAACCCAGGCGCUGGUGGGUCCGUCGACGUUGCGUGGUAGGACCUGCCAGCUGGAGUUGUUUGGAGCUGAGAAAAUAAGCUCAGGGAGAACUGUUGAGGCAAACUAGAAGCAGAUGGUAACCUGAGGUGGCAAGACAACUUUAUUUAGCGUGGCAGUUCGACUUUAUUUAUUUAUUUUACACGAGCAUCUGGUCGCGCUGGGGCGCCUCUAUGCAUGCUCAUUAUUAUGCUGUUAAUGGUGGAUCCGAUUGGCCAAGGGAUAGCAGCAAUUAAGUUCACUGUGUAUUUUAGUCGAUUCAUAUUUUAGUGGGCCUUGGUGAGGCAUGUUCGUGGUUAGGGUUUUAUGUGGAAAGGGUGUAGGAGCUGCUGUUUGAAGUUCUAGUGGUGUGGAAAAUGUGUAUCUAGCAAUGCAGGAUGUUAAAGUGGCCCCACCACCACCAGAGAGCAUGCCAAGCUGUCAAUAAACAGCCAGCGGGAUGCUAGCGCAUUGCCGUAGAUGCGGUCUUGAUUUUAGAAAUAUUUGGGGUUGCGCCCCUGCUGAUACGUGGAUGGUGGGUCCAUCGUUAUGUUCAUUGGAGACCUGACUACGGUCCAUCUAGGGAUGGGUCUGGGAUGCUUGGUUCAUUAGUCCCUGCUUCCUUUCUCCAUCAAUGUCUCUAUCAAUAGUCAAAAUUAGGAGAGUCAUUUUGUGAUGUGAGAUAACAAUGUGAGAUGGAGACUUGGUUUUGCAAAAACAAAACAAAAUCGCUGACUAUUUUUUCUUUAAUGCCUAUCAAGUGUAAUUUUCAUCCUCCAGAGUUUGGUCUGGAGCUUCAUGUUCUAAAAAAUUGUGAUUACUGUGGUUAUUUCCACAGAGUUGCUAGGGCUCUAUCUUUGGGCCAAGUGGAUUCUUGCCUGACUUAGAGCUAAUUUGGCAGAAUUGGGAAGCUUAGCCAAUUGGAGGAGUUACCUGGAAAUCUGAUGCAUCUUCUCAUUACUCAUUAGAUCCAGUUUUCCUAACCACUGGGGGCUCCUUCCCCAUGUGUGCGGAGAAUACUCUCUCUGUUCCAAAGGUACUGGCUUUUCUGGCUCUUGAAUUAAAUCCACGUACAGGUGACAUUGUAGAUGUUGUGCAGUCACUGCUCACCUACGAGCUGCAGGACGUGCAGGUAAUGAAAAUGUUCUUGAGGUAAAAUUUUUCAGAGUGUCCUAGUAAGAAGAGUGAGUGUGUGUGUGCAUGCGUGUGAACUAGACACUUACAGGGAUGUGAUGUUGAUGUGAAAAGGAGCACCUUCUAAACACCCUCUGCCCCUCGGAGAAUAAAGUUGCUGCACUUUUACAAAUGAAAGCAGGCACCGUUUUGAUCUGAACUUAAGGCAAAGCUGGAUGUUGCAACUAUGACAUGUGAGCCGUAAGUGUGACACACGGGUGUGUCGCCCUUCUGGGAGUCUGUUUGCCUCUGCUGGUGCCCAGAAAAUGCUGCUGCCAGAGGGUGACUUCUUCAGCUAUAGAGUGUGGAUGAGAGAGCAGAAAGGAGAAACAGAAAGGGGCUGGGAUCGUUAAACCAAGGACACUGAUGUCAAAGUGUCAUGGACUGUUUUCCUUCCAGGACAGUCAACAUCUACAAAAAUUCCAUCCAUUUUCUCUCAAUCAGCAACUGUUUAAUCAGGACCCACUAAGAUGCACUUUCUUGCCUCUAGACAGUAUAGUUCUGAAUGCACAAGGACUGUAUCACGGCUGGCUGUGACCAGAAAGUCAUGUUCAUUGCAGGAAGAAUGCUCUAUGGCUGGGGGAGGUGUGUGUGUGUGUCGAGGGGAACUGACAAAUCUCUUGCAUCUCCAGACACUGCAAAGGAAAGAGUUUAGGCUGUGGGGUCAAGCCAGCUGGCUGUGUGAUGAUUAACAGCUACUUAACCUCUCUGGGCCUCAUAGAGAAACGCACCUAAAAAUCUUCCUGCCAAGUUCUUGUGAGGAUUAAACAAGAUAAUGAAUGGAAAACACAACGACGGUGGGUUGUGAUGCAGCCAAAGAAGCCAUCCUGCUAGCAGUGCCCAGGGGUUCCAUUGUGUUUGGUGGCGACAAACACAUCGUGAGGAAGGGGAGCGAAGACAGAGAAGGCUCCGCACUGUGCCCAUGAGCUUGGUGCCCUAGAGCUUGGGCUGGAAGUCAGAAGAAACCCCAAGGAAAUAACCAGAAGCAUUAUCUCCAGAGGUCUUUGCAGACCGGGACUUGGAUUCUGCACUCCCCCGCCCCCACCCCGAGAUUAUACAUACAUAAUUUUCUCUACACCAUGUUUUUUCUCUUGCCUCUAUUACAAAUAUGACCCUCACUGGGCUUGUGUUACCUGUUCUUUAAAGAAAAGGUUAAUGCACAGCAAAAUGUUAUUUUCAAGGAACUGUUUUAGAGGAAAAUAUAGACUGAAUUAAUAAAUGCUGUUAUGGGCUGACUUGUGUCCAUUCAAAA